rnacentral:rRNA from 1 species
UACGUAGGUCCCGAGCGUUGUCCGGAUUUAUUGGGCGUAAAGCGAGCGCAGGUGGUUUAUUAAGUCUGGUGUAAAAGGCAGUGGCUCAACCAUUGUAUGCAUUGGAAACUGGUAGACUUGAGUGCAGGAGAGGAGAGUGGAAUUCCAUGUGUAGCGGUGAAAUGCGUAGAUAUAUGGAGGAACACCGGUGGCGAAAGCGGCUCUCUGGCCUGUAACUGGCACUGAGGCUCGAAAGCGUGGGGAGCAAACAGG